rnacentral:lncRNA from 1 species
CAGAAUUGGAGUUUUUGUCGGCAUGUUCCUGGGGAAGGAGGUGGAGACAGACUUAUGAGCUGCCAUCAGCUGCCAGUAGUUGGGCAUAUUUAAUUCUGUGGACAGGUGAGCUGGGGACUGGAACGUUGUUGAAGCUGGGUGUCCUAUAGUUAGAAAGGAGAAUGAAUGAUUCUUGCCUGAUAUUCUGCCGCAGAGAACAAGCGCGUUUUAUUUCUCGACUACUGUAAACUGUUGCUCACUACUAUCUGGUAGCAUAUUUCUGAAUCGUGGCUGUUCUGCUCAUGAAUGCAGUCAUUUUCAGCCGGACUCAGGAUUGAGUACAGCUUUUAAGAAGAAACCAAGGACCAGUCCCCCCUCCUGGAGCAGAGGACUGGAGGAUCAGACUGUAAAUUCAAGCUGGCUAAGUGAAGUUCCCCUACCGCAAAGACUUCACAUCGCUCUUGGUAGACUGUAGUAGCUUCUGCGCAUCCUAUUUAUCAUGUUCCAAUUUGAGACCCAUGAAGCUCCUACCUGGAGGUCAUUUUGAACACUUAACAAAGCAGCGUUUUUCUCAACGUGACUCCAGGUUGGUCUGGAUGCCCUGUUCAGAGGGGCUG